AAUUCCUCACUCAGCUCACUGUCUGCGUGGGUGAGCUCUUUGUUUCUACGCGAUGACCAGACCGGCGACAGUGAGAUUUCGGAUUUACGGAACGAGCUGUUUGUGGACUUGGACAGCUUUUUAGACCCACAAUAUGAUUAUGAUUUCCGAGAGAUGAGCGAUUCCUCAGCGUGCUCUCGUGGAGGUGAGCCGUACAAGCGGCCGGUCGGGUGGUACCGCUUCGCUCUGAAGGUGAAGGAUAAAUACCCAGACGGAAACGCAUGGCUCGGCUCUGUACACUGGAGGAGUUAUUCUGAAGCCGGUGAGUGGCCCGUUUCCUUCCACGGCACAAGCAUCGAAGGCGCUAAAGGAGUCGCAAGCACACAUUACAAAGCUGGUCCACGUGAGGCAUACGGGCGUGGAGUUUAUUCAACUCCUGACAUUACAAUUGCAGAUAGUUAUGCAAUGACCAAGAAAUUCACAUCCAAGAAAACCAGGAAAACCUACAAAGUCAUCAUGCAGAACCGAGUUAAUCCAACAAAACGGAAGAUUAUCAAAGAUAAAAACUUCUGGCUCAUUGAGGUUCCUAGCGAAAGCACAGCAGCGCAAGAGAAAGAGAUUGUGGAGAGUUCAAUCCGUCCUUACGGCAUUCUCAUUACAGAAGUGUAAAUCACACAGAACUGAAGAAGUGCAGUCUUAAGGCUUUAAAAUGUUCAAUAACGUCUACUAUUCUUUUAAACAAAUAAUAAUGUAGGCGUGUUGUUGGUGAGGUAUUUUUUGUUGGCUGUUGGUUAGGUAUGUUUUUGUGUGUGUUGGGGAAAUCCUCUAUUUCAUGUUCAUUCUGAAUAUUUUGAAGAUCAGAAUGUACUUACCUUCAUACAAUAAAUAAUAUAUUGGUGUGGUGAUUGUAAGGGUUUAAAAAAAAAGACAUUUCAUUAUUCAUUACAUAAAUGUGGCCUAGUAAUAAAAUUAAUAAAAGUAAUAAAAGAUCUACUAUGACACAAAAUGAUAAUAAAAUUAUCAUAAAGGAAAUAGUACAAUUAAUUAAAGUCCAUUAAUGUAAAGUUUAAAUUUAAUAUGACUCAAUUAUUCUUUUUAUUAGAGAGAGAGAGAGAGAGAGAGAGAGAGAGAAAGACUUGUGAAAGAGAGAGAGACUUACUCAUGUGAAAGAGUAACACAGAUCAAUAUAGUAAUAGUAACAAUUUGUGUAGGAAUAUUUUUGUGUUAAUUAAUUAAAUCCCAAAUGAUACAUGUCGAGGUUUACUUUAAGUAAAUGGCAACGUCACAUGUAAGCAAAUGAAAGUGAAACCAUAUAUUUAUACAAUAUAGAGUGUAUUAGUUUGAGAGUGACAGAGGGGGGCGCUGUGCUACAAAAUGUACAGUACUCACAUCACUGCUGAUUAUUUUGUUAGCGGUUUGGGGUCUGACGGCAGGUUAGGUGAGCUGUGAUGUCAGUCUUGUUGAAUUUUUUGAUGAAAUAAGAAAAUACUCAUCAGUGGUACACUAGGGGCUGCCAAUCUAGGGGUCAUGACCCCUUUGCUUGAUUUACAAAUGGGGUCACGAGAGAAAAUCCCAGUCUCCUAUUUUGUUUCAUUCAUUUUACAAAUUAAUAUUAGAAAUAUUAUAUUGCUAUGUCUCAAAGCUCUUAUAUUGCAACAGCUUCCCGAUGCAGCUAUGAGAAUGACUUCAAUACGUUCUUCUUUUGUCAAAGAUUUUUAAAGGCUAUCUGAAAAGUUAUAUAAAUAUACACACACAUAUACACAUAUAUAGAAGUGGAUGUCCACCAACAUCCACUGACGAAGGAACAACUGACGUGAUGAUAGCAAACAUAGUCCUCUAUAAUAUAGAAUGUAUAUAAGCAAGAUCAAUUUUGGAAGACAUUUUGCUAAAAAGUGUUAAUUUCUCUCUCUACAUGGAGACUUUUGGGACACCCUGUACAAUAAAGGAAUAAAAAUUCUUGCAGACUGUAUUUAUGAUAGUUAUUCCUGAACUUUGGAGCUGACAGUGUGCAAAUUUCUGCUGACUGAUGUGUGUAGAAACUCAGCAGCUUUACUGCAUGAACAUUUUACACACAGCACAUUAGGAGCAUUUUAAAAUACACUUUACUGUAUAUCUGUACAUACAAAUGUGGAAUAGGAUAUAUUCCUUCUGUUUGAACCCAGAAUCAUUUGCACUAAACUAUUAAAUGAGGUGUUUAAAUUUUAUAUCUGACUCUUUAGUGGAAGUUAAAAGUGGAUCGUCACGAACAGGAUUCGAACCUGUGCGGGGAAACCCCAUUGGAUUUCGAGUCCAACGCCUUAACCUCUCG
ensembl:lncRNA